ACAACGUUCUGAUGCAAUGCCUG
rnacentral:siRNA from 1 species